AUACGUAGGUGACAAGCGUUAUCCGGAUUUACUGGGCGUAAAGGGCGUGUAGGCGGUCUUGCAAGUCAGAAGUGAAAUUCCUGAGCUCAACUCGGGCGCUGCUUCUGAAACUGCAGGACUUGAGUGCUGGAGGGGAUAGCGGAAUUCCUAGUGGAGCGGUAAAAUGCGCAGAUAUUAGGAAGAGCACCGGUGGCGAAGGCGGCAAUCUGGACAGUAACUGACGCUGAGGCGCGAAAGCGUGGGGAGCAAACAGGAUUAGAUACCCUGGUAGUCCACGCCGUAAACGCUGAAUACUAGGUGUAGGGGGUAUCGACUCCCUCUGUGCCGCAGUUAACACAAUAAGUAUUCCGCCUGGGGAGUACGGCCGCAAGGUUGAAACUUAAAGGAAUUGACGGGG
rnacentral:rRNA from 1 species